rnacentral:lncRNA from 12 species
AUGAUUUUAUUUUUACACCCUGAAAUAUUUAUGGAAACCACUAAAUAUGGGCUUUUGAGGAUUAAUGGAUUUAGUAGACCAGUAGAAUUGCGUGUAUGCCGGAUGGCUUUGCUUACAAAUGGGAAUUUUUGGAAGUUUGUUUUCCGGAUGCUUCCUCAAUGCUGCCCCAUAGUGGCCGGUCAUAGGCCCGGCUACUUAGACCGGCUACUCUGGCCUUUUUUACCGGAGCUCACCUGGCUGGGUGGUGUGUGUGAGUCAGGCAGGCUGGGGUGGUGGGCUGUGGGUGGGCCCAGGGGUGAGCAAGUCGGUCCACACCUUACAAAGGAAGGGCUUGUUUGUAUGCCCACCAGUGACUCAGCCAAGAGGAAACCAAAUGGGGAAAGGGGGUGGGGCGGCGAGCAGCAGCAUUUCUGA